ACUCAAAGGAAUUGACGGGGACCCGCACAAGCGGUGGAGCAUGUGGAUUAAUUCGAUACUAACCGAAGAACCUUACCCACUCUUGACAUUGAAGGAAAGCUCUAGAGAUAGAGCCCUCUCCCACAAGGAGACCUGAAAACAGAUGUUGCAUGGCUGUCGUCAGCUCGUGCCGUGAGGUGUACGGUUAAGUCCGCCAACGAGCGCAACCCUCGUUCUGUGUUACCAGCGAGUAAAGUCGGGCACUCACAGGAGACCGCCGGUGUAAGCCGGAGGAAGGUGGGGAUGAUGUCAAGUCAGCAUGGCUCUUACGAGUGGGGCUUCACACAUGCUACAAUGGGCGCAACAAAGGGCAGCGAUAUCGCGAGAUGGAGCAAAUCCCAAAAAUACGUCCUCAGUUCAGAUUGCAGUCUGCAACUCGACUGCAUGAAGGCGGAAUCGCUAGUAAACGCAGGUCAGCUAUACUGCGUUGAAUACGUUCCCGGGUCUUGCACACACCGCCCGU
rnacentral:rRNA from 1 species